UUCAAAGAUUUUAUGUUUUUCUUCUAAUAUUACUUGAUUUUGUAGCUACAAUAUUGUCAAGUUAGUUGUAUGGGACAAGUUAGUGACUGAUAAUCUAAGUACAUGGGAAAAACUGGCCGAGGAGCGUGCUAUUGUCGUGGCAACAAUGCUACGUGCAAACCGCAUUGACCGUGGCCUGCAUACUACGGACUAUAGUAGGAUGCACUUUGACCCGAACAUCAUAGCCGCACAUAAACUGAGGCAAAGGAUCAAUAAUGAUGUGUCUGGACCAGUAUCUCCAUGAAUCAAAAGAAGAUGGAGAAUGGAGUCAUGAAGCAAAAUUGGAGAAUAGGAGAAUGUGUUGCAUAAGCUAGACUGAGCUGCUUUUGGAUUGUGUUAAUCGGCUUUUGCUUAAAUUUGGGUGUAUGAGUCGUUAAAAAUCUGUUCGGUGCUUUUGUAAUUGUUGAUGUAACUGAAACUGAGUUUCACCUACAACGUGAAAUCUUAUGAUGGUGUAAUGCCAAGACAACUUCGUCUGAGAAAUCAAGUUGUUGUGUUUUCUAGGCAAAUGAGAAAUGUAACCUUCAAUGCAUGACGCAUUUGAAAAUAGUUGCGCACAUGCAUAUAACUGCUAUUUUUUAUGUGGCUAAAGCCUAACCAUAUCUUAACAAAAAUGCAGUACUACAUUGAUUUAUACUUUUGUUGUUCCAUUUCAUUUUAUGUGAUUCCGUAGCGUAGCACGGGCAUCUUACUAGUUUCAGCUAAAACUAACGCAAAGCAUGAACAGCUCUAGCCUGGUCAUCAGAAGAGGGGAAGAAACGAACAUCUCUAGCCUUGAAAGUAGUUGUGGUGAGAUAAUGCAAGAA